rnacentral:rRNA from 1 species
AUACGUAGGUGACAAGCGUUAUCCGGAUUUACUGGGCGUAAAGGGCGUGUAGGCGGUCUUGCAAGUCAGAAGUGAAAUUCCUGAGCUCAACUCGGGCGCUGCUUCUGAAACUGCAGGACUUGAGUGCUGGAGGGGAUAGCGGAAUUCCUAGUGGAGCGGUAAAAUGCGCAGAUAUUAGGAAGAACACCGGUGGCGAAGGCGGCUUACUGGACUGUAACUGACGUUGAGGCUCGAAAGCGUGGGGAGCAAACAGGAUUAGAUACCCUGGUAGUCCACGCUGUAAACGAUGAUUACUAGAUGUUGGGGACUAUGAGUCUUCGGUGUCGCAGCUAACGCAAUAAGUAAUCCACCUGGGGAGUACGUUCGCAAGAAUGAAACUCAAAGGAAUUGACGGGG